rnacentral:rRNA from 1 species
AUUGAACGCUGGCGGCAGGCCUAACACAUGCAAGUCGAGCGGAUGAAGGGAGCUUGCUCCUGGAUUCAGCGGCGGACGGGUGAGUAAUGCCUAGGAAUCUGCCUGGUAGUGGGGGAUAACGUCCGGAAACGGGCGCUAAUACCGCAUACGUCCUGAGGGAGAAAGUGGGGGAUCUUCGGACCUCACGCUAUCAGAUGAGCCUAGGUCGGAUUAGCUAGUUGGUGGGGUAAAGGCCUACCAAGGCGACGAUCCGUAACUGGUCUGAGAGGAUGAUCAGUCACACUGGAACUGAGACACGGUCCAGACUCCUACGGGAGGCAGCAGUGGGGAAUAUUGGAAAAUGGGCGGAAGCCUGAUCCAGCCAUGCCGCGUGUGUGAAGAAGGUCUUCGGAUUGUAAAGCACUUUAAGUUGGGAGGAAGGGCAGUAAGUUAAUACCUUGCUGUUUUGACGUUACCAACAGAAUAAGCACCGGCUAACUUCGU